ensembl:lncRNA
CGUUUAUUACAAAAGCUUUUGGAGACAAGUGUAGCCGCACAAUGUCUGAACAUGUAUUGUCAUAACAGCAUUAUUUAUAAUUCAAACACGCCUAAUAAUGGGGGGGUUGAGGUAGCCUAAACAAGUCUGCGUUUGGUUCAAUUUAUGUUCUAUACCUUAUAUCAAUCAAUCAAUCAAUCAAUCAAAAUUUAUUUAUAAAGCGCUUUUUACAACAGCAGUUGUCACAAAGUGCUUUACAGAGACACCCGGCCUUAAACCCCAAGGAGCAAACAACAGCAGUGUUGAAUUUAUAUGUGUACAUGCAGCACAAGUGUCAUAUUUGCCCUUAUGUCUUCAGGUUUGAAGUUCCUCAGUAUGUGUGUGCGUUGUCCAUCUGUGUCCUGUUUGCCUAAGACACCCAAGCUAAAUGUGUAAGUGUAUUGGCUCCUCUGGUGGGGCAGGAGACAUUUUGGUGGAAUUUGGGAAAAACAUUUUUCAGAUUUGAAUGGUUGAAAUCCCCUGCAAUCAGAAAAACCCCAUCCGGGUCUUCUGUCUGCUGUUUGCUAAUAGCUGCAUGCAGUUCAUUCAUUGCUAGUGUAGCAUUAGCAUCUGGGGGUAUGUAGACUGCCGUACCAACAAUUGAUGUAAAGUCCUGAGGCAAGUAAAAAGGCCUGCAACUAAUCAUCAGGUACUCCAGACUGGUUGAGCAGUGACUCCAGUUAAGUUAGUGUUUGUACACCAUGUUUUGUUUACAUAAAUGCCCAGCCUACCUACUCCGGUCUUACCGGAGUCCACUUCAGUCCGAUCUGCUCUGAAGACAUCGCGCCCUUCCAGCUCAAUUACGUUGUUGAAGAUCCACCACAUCAUGCCUACAACCUCGUCCUCCUGCCUGCCCGCCAGCCUACCUGCUCUGCCCAUGCUGCCUGCCAUCCCCGCCGCCCUGUCUGCCUUACCCCUCUGGCCAACCCUACUACCCCGCCUACCAGCCCAGCCCUCACCCCCCCCGGCCUUGCCUCAGUCCUGAUACCUGCAUUACACCCUGAGUUUAGUUGCUUGGGUCCACUAGAGACACCGACAUCAGACUCCAAAUGCAAAGCCUAGACUCAAGACUCGUCAAUGAAAGCUCUCUUAUGGAUGAACAAUUGAAGCCAAAUAACGUAAAAUUGUGUCACUUUAUUCAAAACUUGCUGCAAUUUCUAAAUGAUUCAUCUAAUGUGGAUACAAUUACAUGAAAUUAAAGCUGGCAGUUUGCACUUAAACCAAACAGCAAUUGUUUGAUUUUAAACCAAAAGUGAUAUAAAACUUAUUAUUAUUAAGAUUAUUAAAAGAACAUUUGAAACUGCGCUCAUGCAAAACCUGCUUAAUUAAAGAUCAUGUUUGACCUGUUUUAUGGUGUCUUGUUUCCUGAGACAACACCUUCCAAUCAGAAAAGAAAGAUGGUUUGACUGCUGUGUCACAAAUCCCCCUGGUGCACCAGCUCACGGACUACGUCUCUGGCCUACUAGGCAUGACUGUACAGGCUAAUCACCUUCACCCCGGACUGUCCCUGUUCAUCACAUAUACCUGUUUUCCAUUCCCACUGAUCAUUGCACCUACAUAAGGCCUUCUGUCUAGUGCCAGCUCACCCCUUCCCCAUGGCUGGGCCUCACUGCCAGCUCACCCCUUCCCCAUGGCUGGGCCUCACUUCCAGCUCAUCCCUUCCCCAUGGCUGGGCCUCACUGCCAGCUCAUCCCUUCCCCAUGGCUGGGCCUCACUGCCAGCUCACCCCUUCCCCGUGGCUGGGCUUCACUGUCAGCUCACCCCUUCCCCAUCACACACGCUGACAGGGACCAGAUUAUGCGAUCCAAGCAAUGAGCAAUGAUUGUGGUCGUCCUCUAAAAAACUUGGUCGUUUUUUAUCACGAUCAUGAGAGCAAAUAAAACUCUCAAGUGAAAAUCAAGUGAAAGUGGACAAAAAAGUUAAUAUGCAAUAUUAUAGGCAAAAUGUGGAUUUUGUAAUGUAACUGUAAACAAGCUGGUACAAUAACAAUGCCAUAAUGCCAUACAGUAAAAACCAAACUUGAGACUGAAUAUGUCAGUAUCAUUUUCUGUGUUUUAGCUAAAUAUAUUUUACAUUAAAAACUAGUUUGGUAUAAAUAGAAUAAUUUUCAUGAAACAAAAAGUACAGCAUAUUGACACAAUGACAUGAUACUCACCUUAUUUCACCAAUUAGAUAUGGGAAAACGUUUUUAGGCUACAUAUAUGAGGCCACAUAUACUACUGUUGAAUCAAU